GACGAACGCUGGCGGCGUGCCUAAUACAUGCAAGUCGAACGCACAGUUUAUACCGUAGCUUGCUACACCAUAAACUGUGAGUUGCGAACGGGUGAGUAACGCGUAGGUAACCUGCCUGGUAGCGGGGGAUAACUAUUGGAAACGAUAGCUAAUACCGCAUAAUAUUGAUUAUUGCAUGAUAAUUGAUUGAAAGAUGCUAUUGCAUCACUACCAGAUGGACCUGCGUUGUAUUAGCUAGUAGGUGAGGUAACGGCUCACCUAGGCGACGAUACAUAGCCGACCUGAGAGGGUGAUCGGCCACACUGGGACUGAGACACGGCCCAGACUCCUACGGGAGGCAGCAGUAGGGAAUCUUCGGCAAUGGACGAAAGUCUGACCGAGCAACGCCGCGUGAGUGAAGAAGGUUGUCGGAUCGUAAAGCUCUGUUGUAAGAGAAGAACGGGUGUGAGAGUGGAAAGUUCACACUGUGACGGUAGCUGACCAGAAAGGGACGGCUAACUACGUG
rnacentral:rRNA from 1 species